GUGCUAAUGAAAUGCAAAAAAAAAAGUUUUCCCAGGAUAGAACCAUGACCUUGCUACAAGAAAAAGUGAACAUUGCACAUUACGGAAUGUAAAUAGCUUUAAGAUUUUAACUUACCCAUAGCAUCAUGAUGGAAAAAAAAAAUACUUUGUUAAAAAAUCUGUUAGAUCAUCAUACACCCCAAAGUGAUUUUUAAAAAAAUUUCCAUAAAUCAUCUAGAUGAAAACAAAAAUCAGUGUACAAUGUUAUUCUUAUGUCCAUUGCCUAAGAGUUUAAUCCAUCUUUGUCCAAGUAUUGCAUGAUGGUGUUAAGUGUACAACUAUUGCAUGAUGGCAUUGAGUGUACAACUAUUGCAUGAU